GUGAGGUGAGGUUGAACAGAUGGAAGGAUUUACUUAGCAGAAUAAACCACCUACCUAAUGGUAGUUAUGGUUUUAAUUUCUUUAUUCAUAGUACAUUAACAACCUUGCUGGUGCAGGGUUGUUAAUGUAUUUAUUUCAUUAUUACAUGCAUUAUAAACUUAAACAACAUAAGCCAUGAACUUGGCAGUUGACACACUUAUGGCUACUGUGAUCACAUUCUAAACCAUUUCCAUAGGAGUGAAAGUAACACCAUAUAUGAUGAGGCCUUUCUGCAUUUUCCAGUAGGGUUCAGCACUCGUGAGAGAGAAUUUGACAUAUUCAUCGUCACAAAGACCAAGAGCGAUAGGNUCACAUUAGCAUCCCUGCACCAGCUAGGUUGUUUAAUGUAGUAUGAAAUAAAGAGAUUAAAACCAUAACUACCAUUAGGUAGGUGGUUUGUUCUUCUAAGCAAAUCCCUCUGUUUCUUCGACCUGAUUUCACUACUUUCAAUCUAGCUAUACACAAAAUUUGUAGGGAACAAAAAAAUUACUAGUACCCCAGGAAAUUGGUGUUCUGCAAAAUUCUGAACCAGAUUAUUGAUCAAGACAAGCCAGAAGACUCUGAACAGAUAAGGGUUAGUGAAUAAACCGACAUUUCAUUCGAGUGAGAAUGUCACUGGUUUAAGGCUUUAAGCAAGUGCUGAGAAUUGUAUUAGUUGAACUUAGACGGAUAUCAUGCAUUUAAAAUUUUCACAAUGAACUCUGAGAAAAUUUGGAUCUACUAUCUACAUGAGACGAAACACACAAAAUACAAAAAGUUGAACAGGCGAAUUAAGAGAUUAAUAAGAGUAAUCUGCAUUUUGGCAGACAUCAUAGCGGUAAACCACCUGACAGUCCGGAUCAUUAGCCAGAACAAAAGAUAGCUCAAUUUGUGCAUAUUAAUUUAUCAGUGUGAUGAAUAGUUUAAUUCCCACAUAAAUUUUAAAAAGGACAAAAGAACACUCGGACCGUUUAACAGAUGGAUGAUGGAUUGUUGUUAUCUAUAUCUGAUGUAUACAAUUCAAAUGGUUUCCACUAAAAUUUUGCCGUGAAAAAAUGCUAAUUUUAACCGAUUUUAAUUUCGACUGAAUCCUAUCAAAAUUAUAACUUGUCAAAACUAUUAUGUCAAAAUUAAUAAUUUCGACAAAAUUAUUUUAUGUCGAAAUUAAUCUUAACCUCGACAGGUAAGAUGAUCUGUUAAAAAUAUUCUUGGGUAAUUGAAGAAGGGUAGUUUCCUGUCUGGCAAUCGAGUGGGGGGUAUUGCUGCGUUCUGAAAACUUUGAAUUUAUUUUAUUUAUUGAUUAGAGUAUAUCAAGUUCAUGUUAAAACGACUUUGAGCUUCUUCUUUAAACAAUUCGACUCAUGUUAAAGAGUUCAAGUAUUCUGAAGGACGAGGGAAGCCAAGGUCAUUAAUUAACAAACAAACAAAUUUAUUGUUUAAAGAGUAUAUGAUCAAGUUCUUCCAUCUUCUUUAAACAAUUCGACUCCUGUUAAAGAGUUCAAGUAUUCCGAAGGAUGACAGAAGCCAAGCUCAUUUAUCAAACAAACAAACUUAUUGUUUAAACCUUAGCUUGAUAUCUUGACCAAAAAUUUAGCUAGGGUUAAAAGUCUAGGUCGGGUUUUAGUAAGAGAUAAAGAGCAUAUACGUGCUUCCCCAACAGCUCAAAGAGUAUAUAAUAAAGCUUAGAAGAGCCAUCUCAAGAGCAUAUAUUUCAAGUGAUGGUAAGCAAGUAAUUACUAUAUCAUAAAAUAGUAUACUUUUAGAUGCAGCUUUCUCUUACUUUUUGAUUAAACAGCUUAUUUUUCAUUAAUAUUUAAGAAAAAUAUUAUUUUCUGGGGAAACCCCUCUCCGAUAAUGAAGUAUUGCAAUAACAGUAUAUAGCUAGAUGUGAAGUAGUGAGGUGAGGUUGAACAGAUGGAAGGAUUUACUUAGCAGAAUAAACCACCUACCUAAUGGUAGUUAUGGUUUUAAUUUCUUUAUUCAUAGUACAUUAACAACCUUGCUGGUGCAGGGUUGUUAAUGUAUUUAUUUCAUUAUUACAUGCAUUAUAAACUUAAACAACAUAAGCCAUGAACUUGGCAGUUGACACACUUAUGGCUACUGUGAUCACAUUCUAAACCAUUUCCAUAGGAGUGAAAGUAACACCAUAUAUGAUGAGGCCUUUCUGCAUUUUCCAGUAGGGUUCAGCACUCGUGAGAGAGAAUUUGACAUAUUCAUCGUCACAAAGACCAAGAGCGAUAGGUGUCAUUAUCCCAGGCAAAUGAUUAGUGAAGUCCUCUUCGUUCUCUUCAUCAGGAGGGCUUAACUCAGUUUUCACUUUUCCCAUGUUGUGGUGCUUUGCCAGCCCGACCACAAAAUGGCCUACAUAAGGGUCUUCUCCACCUUUCAGCUGACAUUCUCCGCUAACUUUGAACGUGGCGCUCUCUAGCAACUCAAUGUAACUUCCACUGCAAAUAUAUUUAAUGAACAUGAUUAUAUAAUUUUUUAAACAGAAAUGUGUAUAUAUAUAGAUACUUCUGAAAUCCUAAUUUGCUUCUCCACGCUUACUGUUUCUGCCAGUUCCCUUCCAACUUAAGAGCACACGCCCUCACAAAUACAGUACCAGUCUGCAUAUUGAUUCCAAAAGAAAUUAUUGUAAAAUCAGCACUACAUAAUUUAGUAUCAAUAUUGAUCAAUAUCGGUGCACUCUGAUCUGUGAUCAAAUAUAUUAUAUGCAACUUUCAGUGAAAAAUAUCAUGACUAUGACUUGCCUUGAAGUGUUGAGUAUCAAUGGUGUUCUUGCAGUGCGGGAGAGUCACAAGAGUUGGCUGAACAUCACAAACUUGAAUCUGUUGAGCCAUUGCUUAGAAUUUUUGCUUUUAGUUCUUCCUUGAUCUUAUUGCUGCUGCUAUGCUGUUAUAACUGUCUCUCUUACAAGUCAAUUUAUAGUAACCGAUAUCAGUUCAGUCGUAUAAGGCUAAAACUGAGUGCUGAUUCUUUCCUUAUCUAGAUAAGAUCCUCAUCCUAUAAAUGGUGUGAUGAUUCCUCCAUUAUGGUUUCUCCUGGACUGCUUCCUUCCCAGCUUAGUGGAGGAAUCUAGCACACGCGAUAAGCUUAACAUGAGCAUCGAUCAUCAUCUCCAUGGAUAAAAAGUAGCUAGCAGCACAUAUACCCUUUAAAAAAGGAGCCCUUCUAGGCUCAGUGUUAUAUAAGAUACAUAUCAUAUCAAGUAACUAGUAAAUAAACAUGUGUCAUUCUCUGUGUAGUGCACUUUACCUUCUAAAUAUUCUUAUUGAAAAACUUCUCAUACUAACUUGUUUAUACGACAUUCACUAAUUGGGUGUAUUCACUUCCGGAUUUUUGAGGAUUUUUUUAAUUUAUGAAUUCAUGCAUAUUUAAUUCAGAUUAAGAAUAAUACAUUCUAGAAUCUUUAGCCAUUUAAUCAUAUUAAUUAAAAGAAGAUGAAAAGAAACAUCUAAUGACAUUCGAUCAUAAUUUUAAAUUAUGCUUAAAAAUUCGGUGAUAUUUAAUUAGAAAAAUUUAAAAUACAGGAUCGAAUCUCUCACGUAUACAAAGACUGAUGGAUUCAUUUUUGGCUUAACGAUGGAUUCUAAGAAAUUUGAUAGUGUGUAGUAUCUUUUUUUGAAUUCUCUCCAUAUUUUAUUAGAUUUUAGAAAACUAUACUUACAUCCUAAUAAGGACUCUGCAUCAUCAACUCUACGAGAUUUUAUUUCAACUCCACUAAAUUCUGCAGAAGGUCCUUGCUUAAUAUCUAACUUCUAUCUGUACUCAGAGUCUUCUAACUGUUUUUGAUAAAUACUUUGAUUGCAACUUGUGCAAGCAGGUUGUGAUUUGAGUAUAGUCAAGUUCAAAUGACUUUGAGCUUCUUCUUUAAACUAUAUAACUCUUCUUAAAAAGCUCAAGUUUUCAAAUUGAUCCGGCCAAGCUCAUUAAUAAAACAAACAAUUUUGUUGUUCAAAAAUUAGCUCGAUUACUGGAGAAAAAUUUUAGUCAGGUUCAGAAUUCGAGCUCGAGUUAUAAGUAAGAGAUGUAAGAUUAUAUAUGUGCUUCCACGUGUAUUUCAAGUGUAUAUGCGCAAAAUCCCUAAUUUUCGAAAUAUUUAAUAUUAAAAAUUUAAAACUAAAAUACAAUAAAAUAAAAUAAUCCAAAAAUUCUAUUACAACCAUAUCAAUUACAAAUACACAACUAACGAUACUUUAAUCCACGUGUCAAACUUCUCCAAAUCUAAUAACCUCAACUUCCAAAGCACAUCAACUUGCUCUUAAAUCAAGAUCUGUGACGGUGGCUGGAUACGUACCCCUAGAUUUACAGGGGAUCAAACCGGUAAGUAGUUCUUUUCUCCUAGGAAACCUAAUUAAAUUAGGUUUCCCCUUCAGCUAUCUUUCUCCUGAAAGGAGCCCAAUACGAUGAGGUCUAGUCUUGGGCCUUGUAGACUCUCGAGCACCCAAAAUUUAUCCCAAAUGCAAGGACGCUUCUCUGGGACACCCGUCAGACUACAGAGAUAGAGCCUUCCGGGGCAUAUGUGAAAAUUAUAAAAGGGAUGAGCUACACAGCUUAUCAAGUAACAAUCUGAUUCACAGUUAAUCUCGAAAUUGAAUGUACUAUAAAUUCUACAGAAAAGCUGAUUUGUGUAUGAAAAUACCUACGAAUUUUUGAAUAAAAGUGAAGAAAAAGGUUGGGCGACUGUCAAAAGUAUAUAAAAGAAUGAGGGAACACAACUAAAUAUAUAGAGAGUCUCAAAACCCUAAUUUUAGAGUUACGAAUUACCCGAAUACAAGUUUGAUUCAUAUUUUAGGUCAAUUUUCCUAAUUCAAUUCUAAAUCCUAAUCAUAAUCCAAUUUUAAUCCUUUAUUAAUAUUACUAAUCAAUUAAUAUUAUUCUAAAAAUUACCGGAUACUAACAUAUGAUAGGCAAGUAACAGAAUCAUGGAAUAUAUAGUAUACUUUUAAAUGUUGCUCUUUCUUAAUGAAGUAUUGCAAUAUAUAUUACCAAUAGCUAGAUGUGAAGCAUUGCAAUAUAUAUUACCAAUAGCUAGAUGUGAAGCAGUGAGAUUAGGUCGAACAGAUCAUGGAAGGAUUUAACAAGAAGAAGCAGCCAUGUUAGGUCGAACAGAUAGAAGGAUUUAUUAAGAAGAAUAAACCACCUACCAAAUGGUAGUUAUGGUUUUAAUCUCUUUAUUUCAUAGUACAUUAACAACCUUGGUGGUGUAGGGUUGUUAAUGUAAUUUAUUUCAUAAUUACAUGAAAUGAACUGAAACAACAUGAUAAGCCACGAGCUUGACAGUUAACACACUCAUGGCUACUGUGAUCACAUUCUAAGGCUUUUUCAUAGGAGUGAAAGUAACACCAUAUAUGAUCAGGCCUUUCUGCUUUUUCCAGUAGGGUUCAUCACAGCUGGUUAAACAGAAUUUGACAUUUCCAUCACAAAGACCUAGUGCGAUAGGUUUCAUUGUCCCAGGUUUAUGACAAGUGAAGUCCUCUUCGGACUCUUCAUGAGGAGGGCUUUUUGCAGCUUUCACUUUUCCCAUGUUAUGGUCCUUUGCCAGCCCGACCAUAAAAUGGCCUACAUAAGGGUCUUCUCCAGCUUUCAGCUGACAUUCUCCGCUAACUUUAAAGUCGGUGCUCUCUAGUAACUCGAUGUAAGUUCCACUGCAAAUAUAUUUAAUGAACUUGAUUACAUAAAUUUUCGAACAGAAAUGUGUAUAUAAAUACUUCUGAAACCCUAAUUUGCUUCUCCACACUUACUGUUUCUGCCAGUUCCCUUCCAACUGAAGAGCACAGGCCCUCACAUAUCCAGUACCAUUCUGCAUAUUAAUUCAAAAAUAAAUUAUUGUAAAAUAAGCUCAACAUAUUUUAGUAUCAUAUUUGAUUAAUAUCAGUGCACUCUGAUCAGUGAUCAAAUAUAUUAUAUGCAAUUUUCAAUCAAAAAUUCCAUGAUUAUGCACUUGCCUUGAGAUGUUGAACAUCGAUGGUGUUCGAUCUUGCAGUGCGGGAUAGUCACAAGAUUUCGCUUAACAUCACAAACUUGCAUCUGCAGUUGAGCCAUUGCUUAGAAUCUCUGCUUUUAGCUCUUCCUUGAUCUUAUAACUGUCCAUCUUACAAGUCAAUUUAUAGUAACCGAUAUCAGUUCAUUCGUAUAAGGCUAAGACUGACUGCUGAUAUAUUCUUUCCUUAUCUAGAUAAGAUCCUCAUCCUUUAAUCGGUGUGAUGAUUACUCCAUUAUGGUUACUCCUGGACGCUUCCUUCCCAGCUUUAAUCAGUGGAGGAAUAGCACACGCGAUAAGCUUGACAUGAUCAGCAUCGACCAUCGUCUCCAUGGAUAAAAAGCAGCAGCACAUAUACCCUUUAAGAAAGGAGCCCUUCUAAGCUCAGUGUUGUAAGAUACAUAUCAUAUCAAGUAACUAGUAACUAGACAUGUGUCAUUAUCUGUGCAGUGUGCAUUGCGCUUUACCUUCUAGAAAUUCUUAUUGAAUAACUUCUCAAACUAACUUCUUGUUUUAAAUAUGACAUUCACUAAUUGGGUGUAUUCACUUCCGGAUUUAAUUUUUAGGUUUAUUUUAUUUAUUUAUGAAUUCAUGUAUAUUUAAUUCAGAUUAAGAAUAAUUCAUUAGAAUUUUUAAAAUCUAGUAAUAUUCAAUCAAGAUUUUAAAUUAUGCUUAAAAAUCUGGUGAUAUUCAAUUAGGAUUAUUUAAAAUAGAGGAAUAUCUCCUGGUACGCAAAGACUGAUGAAUUCGUUUUUGGCUUAACGAUGGAUUCUAAGAAAUUUGAUAGCUGUCUUAUCUGUUUUUUGAAAUCUAUCGACAGUUCAUUAGAUUUUGAAAGACUGUACUUAAUUACAUUUUAAGAACUCUGCAUCAACUCUACGAGAUUUUACUUCAACUCCGCUAAAUUCUGCAGAAGGUCCUUGCUUAAUCUCUAACUUCUAACUGUACUCUGCAGAGUCUUCUGACUGUUUUUGAUAAAUAAUUUGAUUACAUCUUGUGCAAGCAGGUUCUGAUCUGAGGAUAGUCAAGUUCAAAAGACUUUGAGCUUCUUCUUUAAACUAUUCAACUCUUGUUAAAGAGCUCAAAUUUUCAAAAUGACCCAAGCCAAGCUCAUCAAUCAAACAAGCAAUUUUAUUGUUUAAAACUUGACUUGAUUACUGGAGAAAAAACUUAGUCAGGUUCAGAAUUCGAACUCGAGUUACAAGUAAGAGAUGUAAGAGUAUAUAUGUGCUUUCCCAACAGCUCAAGAGUAUAUAAGCUUAGAAGGGCUAUCUCAAGAGCAAAUAUUUCAAGUGUAUAUGGUAGGCAAGUAACGGAAUCAUGGAAUAGUAUACUUUUAGAUAUAUGCAGCUCUUUCUUAAUGAAGUAUUGCAAUAUAUAACCAAUAGCUAGAUGUGAAGUAGUGAGAUAAGGUCGAACAGAUGGAAGACUAGCUCAAGAGUUAUAUAAGCUUAGAAGGGCUAUCUCAAGAUCAAAUAUUUCAAGUGUAUAUACGUGUAACAUCUCCCGAUUUUUCGGAAUAUUAAUACUAAAUUCAAAACUAAAAUAUAAUAAAAUUUAAUAAUCUUAAUAUAUAGAGAGUCUCAAAACCCUAAUUCUAGACCUACCAAUUACCCGAAUUGAUCCAUUUUUUAAGUUCAUUAUCCUAAUUCAAUUUUAAAUUCUAAUCAUAAUCCAAUUUUAAUCCUUUAUUAAUAUUACUAAUCAAUUAAUAUAAUUUUAAAAAAUUACGGGAUAUUACAAUAUGGUUGGCAAGUAACGAAAUCAUGGAAUAGUACACUUUUAGAUGCAGCUCUUUCUUAAUGAAGUAUUGCAAUAUAUAACUGAUAGCAUGUGAAGCAGCAGUGAGGUUAGGUAGAAGAGAUGGGAGUAUUUACUAAAGAAGAAUAAACCACCUACCUAAUGGUAGUUAUGGUUUUAAUCUCUUUAUUUCAUAGUACGUUGUUAAUGUAAUUAUUUCAUUAUUACAUGCAUGAAAUGAACUGAAACAACAUAAGCCAUGAGCUUGACAGUUAACACACGCACUAUAUAUAAGUGAAAGUAACACCAUAUAUGAUGAGGCCUUUCUGCAUUUUCCAGUAGGGUUCAGCACUGGUGAGAGAGAAUUUGACAUAUUCAUCGUCACAGAGACCUAGAUCGAUAGUUGUCAUUAUCCCAGGCAAAUGAUUAGUGAAGUCCUCUUCGUUCUCUUCAUCAGGAGGGCUUAACUCAGUUUUCACUUUUCCCAUGUUGUGGUGCUUUGCCAGCCCGACCACAAAAUGGCCUACAC
rnacentral:lncRNA from 1 species